rnacentral:rRNA from 1 species
GAUGAACGCUGGCGGCGUGCCUAAUACAUGCAAGUCGAGCGAACGGACGAGAAGCUUGCUUCUCUGAUGUUAGCGGCGGACGGGUGAGUAACACGUGGAUAACCUACCUAUAAGACUGGGAUAACUUCGGGAAACCGGAGCAAAUACCGGAUAAUAUUUUGAACCGCAGGGUUCAAAAGUGAAAGACGGUCUUGCUGUCACGUAUAGAUGGAUCCGCGCUGCAUUAGCUAGUUGGUAAGGUAACGGCUUACCAAGGCAACGAUGCAUAGCCGACCUGUGAGGGUGAUCGGCCACACUGGAACUGAGCCACGGUCCAGACUCCUACGGGAGGCAGCAGUAGGGAAUCUUCCGCAAAGGGCGAAAGCCUGACGGAGCAACGCCGCGUGAGUGAUGAAGGUCUUCGGAUCGUAAAACUCUGUUAUUAGGGAAGAACAUAUGUGUAAGUAACUGUGCACAUCUUGACGGUACCUAAUCAGAAAGCCACGGCUAACUACGUG